rnacentral:rRNA from 1 species
ACAAGCAGCGGAGCGUGUGGUUAAUUCGAUGCAACACGAAGAACCUUACCUGGGCUUGACAUGCAGGUAGUAGGGAACCGAAAGGUAACCGAUCCUUCGGGAAGCCUGCACAGGUGCUGCAUGGCUGUCGUCAGCUCGUGCCGUGAGGUGUUGGGUUAAGUCCCACAACGAGCGCAACCCUCAUCGUCAGUUAAAGAUUUCUGACGAGACUGCCGGUGUAUAACCGGAGGAAGGUGGGGAUGAUGCCAAGUCAGCAUGGCCUUUAUGUCCAGGGCUACACACACGCUACAAUGGUCGGUACAGAGGGCAGCCAAGCCGCGAGGCGGAGCCAAUCCCACAAAGCCGGCCACAGUUCAGAUUGCAGGCUGCAACUCGCCUGCAUGAAGUCGGAGUUGCUAGUAACCGCAGGUCAGCGAUACUGCGGUGAAUACGUUCCCGGGCCUU